AUUGAACGCUGGCGGCAUGCUUUACACAUGCAAGUCGAACGGUAACAGGCCUUCGGGUGCUGACGAGUGGCGAACGGGUGAGUAAUGCAUCGGAACGUGCCCAAUCGUGGGGGAUAACGUAGCGAAAGUUACGCUAAUACCGCAUAUUCUGUGAGCAGGAAAGCAGGGGAUCGCAAGACCUUGCGCUGAUUGAGCGGCCGAUGUCAGAUUAGCUAGUUGGUGAGGUAAAGGCUCACCAAGGCGACGAUCUGUAGCGGGUCUGAGAGGAUGAUCCGCCACACUGGAACUGAGACACGGUCCAGACUCCUACGGGAGGCAGCAGUGGGGAAUUUUGGACAAUGGGGGCAACCCUGAUCCAGCCAUGCCGCGUGAGUGAAGAAGGCCUCGGUUG
rnacentral:rRNA from 1 species